GAUGAAGAACGCAGCGAAAUGCGAUACGUAAUGUGAAUUGCAGAAUUCAGUGAAUCAUCGAGUCUUUGAACGCACAUUGCGCCCCCUGGUAUUCCGGGGGGCAUGCCUGUCCGAGCGUCAUUGCUGCCCUCAAGCACGGCUUGAGUUGGGCCUCCGUCCUCCUCCCGGGGGACGGGCCCGAAAGGCAGCGGCGGCACCGCGUCCGGUCCUCGAGCGUAUGGGGCUUCGUCACCCGCUCUUGUAGGCCCGGCCGGCGCUUGCCGACACAUCAAUCUUUUUUCCAGGUUGACCUCGGAUCAGGUAGGGAUACCCGCUGAACUUAAGCAUAUCAAUAAGCGGAGGA
rnacentral:misc_RNA from 1 species